rnacentral:rRNA from 1 species
GAGCUUGCUCUCUGGUGGCGAGUGGCGAACGGGUGAGUAAUAUAUCGGAACGUGUCCAAUAAUGGGGGAUAACGAGUCGAAAGAUUCGCUAAUACCGCAUACGCCCUACGGGGGAAAGCAGGGGAUCGUAAGACCUUGCGUUAAUGGAGCGGCCGAUAUCUGAUUAGCUUGUUGGUGAGGUAAAGGCUCACCAAGGCGACGAUCAGUAGCUGGUUUGAGAGAACGACCAGCCACACUGGAACUGAGACACGGUCCAGACUCCUACGGGAGGCAGCAGUGGGGAAUUUUGGACAAUGGGGGCAACCCUGAUCCAGCCAUUCCGCGUGAGUGAAGAAGGCCUUCGGGUUGUAAAGCUCUUUCGCAAGGGAAGAAAACUUAUGAUCGAAUAAAUCAUGAGGUUGACGGUACCUUGAUAAGAAGCACCGGCUAACUACGUGCCAGCAGCCGCGGUAAUACGUAGGGUGCGAGCGUUAAUCGGAAUUACUGGGCGUAAAGCGUG